CAUCAGCUGGCACAGCCCACGCAAACCACCGGCUGUCAGCCCGCCGCCCGCCGCGGCCCCCGCACCACCUGGCAGCAGCCAACACCUCCGGCAGGCUGGGCUCUGUGGCGCUGGCUGCCCGGCUCGCAAAAGCUGGUGAACCUCACCCGGACCUGACGCCCUGCUGGAGACAGUGACACUCCCAGCACUGGCUGCAAUGGGGGGGGAGACGGGAGUCCCUGAGCAAAGUGACCCUGGAUAAGAAUGCCCUUCAGGCAGCCCCAGAAACUACCUCUCCCAAGUUUAGACCACACUGGGUAGCCUGAGAGCGGAGAGGUGACAGUGAGACAGGUGUAAUCACCUGAAGAGCAGAGACCCCCUUUACAUGCCCCUGGAAGAUGCCAUCUGACCCAGUGAGAUCCACUCAGAGGAUACUUCUGUCCUUGCAGUUCCCAGUGCCGGAUUGUUAAACCAUACCAACCUCCUGGUUUCUGAGCCACUCAGAGACGGAGGUCUUAAAUCUUAGGAGGACCUAAGACAUCGAAAUUACUGCCACCUAGGAACACCUGCCCUGCUCCUGGGACCAGGAGCUCCAGCCCCAACACCCAGGCCUCCCAGAGCUUCCAUUGAGCUGUCUACCUGCCUCAACACCAGCUUUCCUGGUGUGGCAGUCUUCAAUCCUUGCCACAAUCUACGGCGGUGCAUCUCCCCAACCAAACCAGUCUGGCAUCCAGCUCACCACUGAGGGCAGCUGGGGAACUACCUUCAGUUUGGAACAAGGAAGGGUCUCUGCAGGCAAGAGGGCCCAGCGCUUUUAUUUUUUGCCAGCUGGCACCACACUUAGCCCCCUCCUGGGCCAAAGAGCUGAAAAGAGACAGCAACUGAGAAAAGCUUGGCUGAGAAGGGGAACCAGGGAGACUUUGUUUUUCCUCGAUCAGAAAAGCCCUACCCCACUUCUUUAGCUUUUAUUUUGUUCUAAAAGCUUUGGAAUACCUCCACAGAGCUACGUGCUAAGGCAAGAGCCCGAGCCUAAGGAUGGCUACGAGAUGCUCAGGACUACUAUGCAACCCAGAACACAUGGCAGGGAAAGGCACCGCCCCAUGUGCUGCAGUCCUCAAGUCCAGAAUCUGAGGUGGGGCGAAGGAAGUUCUCAACUGAGCUGAGAAGCCCUGCCCGGAGCCACAGGCUUGCUGAGGCUAACGCCCUUCUGCUCCUUCAAAAGCUUUAAAGUGACUUUAGUGCCUUUAUUAAAGUCUUGGAGUUCAAGAGAGCCUCAUCUGGGACCCUUCUCUCCACAGUGCCUGACCCCCUGUGCCCUAGGUCCAGGAGCCCAAUCAGCAGAUUAUUCCUGGAGGGCCAUGAGGGACAGGGGGAUAAUGAAUGUGACAAUAACAUCCUGAGUCUGCUUAGUGGUCCAGCCCAUGGUCCAGAGCAGGAAGAGUGUUCUGUGGCAUCCAUCUGACAGACACUGAAUGUUGGAGAUUGUUUAGAAACACUCACCUGCGACACGGAUGCAGAAACCGGUCCCAAGACAUGUGACUUGCCUAAGGCUGCCCAGUAGAGCCUACAAGAACCAUAACCCGUGGUCUCUCUCCAUACUCUACCCAAAGUACUACUGCUAUUGUUCAUAAAUUACUGGAACCCAACCGCCCAUCAGCCACACAGGCAAGAAAUGACUGCGAACACCCAACACUACCACCACCCGACACUUCUGUCUCCCAACAAGAGUAGAGGCUUCAGGAGCAAGCCCCCCCAUCACCUUCUAUGGGCACCCAGCAGAUUUCCCCAUCGGAGUCACCAUCAGCAACAGCAGUUUGGGUUUCUGCAGCCCCUGGCCCAGCUAAGAGGUACAAAAACCCUACCACUUCUGAAGUGGAUCCCCUGAAGCGCACCAAUGGGAACCUUUAAGUCCAAGGCAAGUGUCCCACCUGCAUUCAGAGUUUGGAGAAACUCACAUUUCCAUUUUCUUCUUUGGCAAGUAGGAGCUGGAGAUCUGGUGCAUGAUCACCAGGGCAGGAUAGAGGGGCAGUGCCAGGCACAGGUACCAGGCUGUACCUUUGAUCUGGGCCUGGAACCACACUGAGUACAUGCCCAGGAGCACCGUGACCGUAGCCGUCAGGUAGACCACCAGUCCACAAGUAAGAUGGUAGAGUUUGAGGCGAGCCACCCUGGACACCCCGGCUGCUCGGGGACAGAGAAGGCAGGACCCGCACAGCGCCUGCCCACCCGUGGCCAGCAGCGUCACCACCCCCGCCCAGCUGUGCCAGGACGCCAGGUGGGGCAGCUCACUGCGGGCCCUGCUGAGGAUGAUGAAGCCCAGGCCCAGGGCCGCACAGAGGAUGGCUAGGGUCUGUCCCGCCCAGUGGAGUCGGAUCCGGGCCUUUCGGGAGCAGAAGAAGAACAGAGAGUGUUCAGGCGAGAAGAGCAGGAUGGCCUCAGCCAUGCAGAGGCAGAACUGUGAACACAGGAGAGGGCCAGUGAGUGCAGGCCCGGCCUGGAGGCCUAGGAGGAGGUCGUGCUUGCACUCCUCCACACUCCUCAGCAGGGAGCCUAAAGAACUCCCCCAGGACCUCCUGCCUCGGGUCAGGGUCAGCGUCUGAGCACAGGCAGGAAUGGACAGCUGAGUGAGGUCCUCCUUCAGGCCACAGCCAUGCCCACCUCCUCCACAGGCGGGGCUCCCAUUUCCUGACCCAUGUUAAGCAAAUUUUUAGCAAGUGUUAAACCUCCUCCUGAACUUCGUGGGGCUGGAGUUGGGGGUGGGGGCAGGUGACUGGACACCACUUCUACUUCCUCCUUUCAGGUCUUAGAGGAGAAGAAACGUCUUCCACGGCCUCCCAACUCCCCUCAGCCACGGACACUAACUACAGCCCAGCCUUCCAUGUCUCCCAACCAUAAGCUGCAGGGGAAGAUGGGGCCCUCAUCCUCUCCCCCUGGUCUCUGGGCCUUAGGAAGGCUGGAUGCUUCCCUAGGGGCAUACCAAGCAAAUCAGGGGCAGAAAGGAAGCCCAAACUCACCGCCAAGGCCAUGAAUACAGGGUGCCAGGAGAAAAGACCUAGGAAUCAAAGAGAACAGACUGACAGCCGGGCGCCAGGUUUCUGCCCUGCGGCUGGCGGGAGCCCGAGACUCCGGCUACGGGGAAGGUCGGCGCCCUGCUGCCGCCCCAAUCAGCAACUCGUGCGAAGUGGAGCUGCCAGUGGGGCUUACGGUGAGCAACCAAGGGGGAACCAUCCACCAGGUCUGGCCUGGGCUCCCCCUCCCGCAGCUCCAGCUCAGCUCGGCCCUACACUGGCCCUUGGCCUCCUUGUAUCCUCCACGAGGGGCUCCGCUUCUGCUGAACCGUUUGGCUGUCCCCUAUGCCUAGUCACCCAGAAGGUACUGGAAGCGAUGGGUAAGGGUCGGGAUUCCCUCCCCCACCACCCACUCAUGCCCUGCCUCAGCCCAGCCUCGGCCUGUCAGCUUCCCACCUCUCCUUCAUUCUAUCUGGGGUCUUGCCAAACAGCCAAACCGCAUCUCUAGGUGUGUGAGAACGAGGGCUUCUGAAGCCCACGUACAUCCGGGCCCCGGGGGACUAGGGAGGGUGGUUCUGGGCCGGAGAGACUCACUUCCACAUGUGAGAGCUGAGGUGCCGCUCCAGCAUGGAGCUCAGUGCUGAGCAGAACCGGUCCAGCCGGCGGCUAAACACGUAGCAUCCUGGACUCACCAGCCGGCUCCCAAAGGUGCAGAACUAAAGGCAGAAGGAAGGUGCACGGCAGAGAUGCGUGUGUGUCUCCUUCGGCCAGGCAGGCUCUCCCCGGGCUCCGGCGCAGCCUCUGCACACGAAGGGGCCAGUGAAUGAAUACGCGGUAGGACUGCCUCACCCAGGACCCUGACCCUUUCGGUUCCCCAGGAGGCUGGUGGCCACGGCUCCGGGACCCCUGGCCCUUCUCCCUGGAGGAGGUUUUGGUGGAACCUGGGGCCCUACAAGCUGGGCCCUGCCCAUUCACUACAUGGCAUUUCUGAGAGCUGGCAGGGGCUGGAGGUGGGGGUGGGGCCCGGGCAUAAAGCUUGCUGAGGGGCCCAUGUCUUCUUUCUGUCACCAGGAGGUGGAGAGAGUAAUCAAGGGCUCGCCUCACCGCAGUGCUUCUGGAAAGCUUGAGGCUUCACCACUUGGCUGCAGUGGUUACACACAACCAAAUAGAAGUCGUCAUGGGCAGGGCAGUGCCCGAAGAUGGACAUGUCUGCAAUGAAGAAGCCCUCAUCACUGGGGCUGGGGAUCCCAGGGGUUUCCCUGUAAGGUCAGACAGCACUCCCACCCACCCCGCGCAGAAGACACCUCCCCCUCCCAGCUGACAUGACAAGCUUUAUGCUGCAUGCUCUCAGCUUCUAGAGAUUCAUCUAAGAAGGAGCUGUUGGGUGAGUGAGCCCAAUCACCUAUGAUUAGGAUCUCCCACAACAGGUCACAGGCGGUAGGUGAAUGGGCUGACUCAGAUCUAGCAAAGUGAGGCUCCCCAGGCCUGCUGCUUCAAGCAGCUACCUCCUGGGAUAUGCUGGAAGAGAGGAAGGUGGUCCUGUCUGCCCUAGGCCCCAGCCUAAUGUGUGUCAACUCCCACCUUCUUUAAUGAGGGUCAUGGCAUCCAACUUCUUCGUGUUUUUGUUACUCUCCUCCAACUCAGCCCCUAGAGGAGAAACACAGCUCAGAAGGAACACCUCCACCCCAGAAGCCCCAUCUCCUACCCAAGCGGCAGCGGCCUGGCAGCAGAGCAGCAGGAGCCCACAGUCCCUAACACGCUUCUGGUGCUCAGGAUCUGGUGCUCAGGACCGCUUACAGUGCCUUUCAGCAGGUCAUUCUCAAGUGCCCAUUCUUCCUUCACCUGCUACCUCUGGAAUGGCCUGACCCCAUUAGGAAGGAUCCUGUCACCUUUCUUAUGGACCCUUCACUCCAAGGUGCGAUUCCCAGCUCCACUGCAAACUACUGGGCGAUUGUGAAUAAAUAUGAUCUCUUUUCUGGGCCCGCUUCCCCAUUUAAAUGGGAAACGAUCCUUAACAUAUUUUACUACAAAUCUCUAAGUCCCUUCUUUGGAGAUUUCUCUGAUGCGUCCUUUCUGCUACUCUGUGCCGUGCCAAACAGGUACCCUCCCAGGUCCCCAUCCCCAUGAAUGCUAUUCUGUUCCACCUGGGUUACCCUGGUACUGACAAAGUUACACCCAGCUUCUGAGGUCCUGUGCUGACAGGAUGGUCACAGAGCAUCCUGAGAAGAGAAACUGCUGUCUGGCUGGGGGGGUCCUCUGGCAUCCUCAAAGUCCCUUUGGUCACCUAUGCAAGCCCCUCCCCUCCUUAGGAGGGCUCUGGGCAAGGGUUGCCCUUCUACCUCAGUUUCUGGGUUGAUGACAAAAACAUCUUAGCUGUGCAAAGCAGCUCUUUCCCCCAUCCCCCUACCUUACUCCUCUCCCCUCCCUCCU